rnacentral:snoRNA from 14 species
CUGCCUCUAUUUAACAGACUUGGAGCAGUUACUAUCUGCUGGUAAGGUUUCUACUAAAGAUGCAAGAAAAAAGUGUCCUUGUCCUUACACUUUCUGUUUGACUGUCUCAGCCAAGACUGAAUGGAGGUAAUACAGGG